rnacentral:misc_RNA from 1 species
GAUGAAGAACGUAGCGAAAUGCGAUAAGUAAUGUGAAUUGCAGAAUUCAGUGAAUCAUCAAAUCUUUGAACGCAUCUUGCGCUCCUUGGUAUUCCGAGGAGCAUGCCUGUUUGAGUGUCAUUUUGAACUCUCAAAGCCCACGUUUUGACGUGGCUUUGGACUUGAGGGCUUUUGCAGGCUUUUGAUUCAGAAAGCCUGCUCCCUUGAAAAUCAUCAGUGGUAUCUGGAGCGGAAACCGCUAGGUGUUGAUAACAUUCAUCUAUGCCUUUGGGUAUGCCGCGUAAAAUGUGCUGCUUCCAACCACCCCAUGCUCUUUGACAAACUUGACCUCAAAUCAGGUGGGACUACCCGCUGAACUUAAGCAUAUCAAUAAGCGGAGGA